UACGUAGGGUGCGAGCGUUAAUCGGAAUUAUUGGGCGUAAAGCGUGCGCAGGCGGUUUUGCAAGUCGGAUGUUAAAUCCCCGGGCUCAACCUGGGAAUGGCAUUCGAGACUGCAAGGCUGGAGUGCGGAAGAGGAGAGUGGAAUUCCUGGUGUAGCAGUGAAAUGCGUAGAUAUCAGGAGGAAUACCGAUGGCGAAGGCAGGUCUCUGGGCUGACACUGACGCUGAUGCACGAAAGCGUGGGGAGCAAACAGG
rnacentral:rRNA from 1 species